rnacentral:lncRNA from 1 species
UUCGGUCUCCAAAACAUGUUUUUGUUAUAGUGUCUCUCCCCUCUCACCCACCCUCCUCCCUCCAUCUCAGCAAUCUUCUCCUUCUUUUUCUUCUUUCACAUCUGUCUUCUUCUUCUUCUAAAUCCCUAGUCUCUGCUAGAGCAAUUAUAAAAUCUCCUGACCGUUCUGGGCGGAUUCGGAAAUUUGCCGGAUUAGAUUCUCCGGCAGGGCGGUCAGGUCGGAAGUUUUGUGGGUUGUCGGUGGUUUUGGGCAAGUGGAAACAGAGCUUAUGUAAAGAGAAUGAAUUGCAGAUUCUGCAGGCGUAGCAGUCGUUUCCUGACAAGAUUUCAAAGACGCAAUCGUUACAUUUCCCGGCGAAACGGUUCCAUUCAGGGUAUGUUGGUGGGUGAAAUGUUGACUCUGUUCUUUUGCAUCCAUUGUCGAUGAAGAAACAGAGUGUUACAACGAGAGUUUGUGUUUCUUAUAACUCAACACUCCUUGCCAAAUGGAGGAGGAAUUAAACAUGGAGGUAUUGCUUUGCUAGCUCUCGGGAUUUCAGUUUGAACAAAAAAGAAAGGAAUUUGUCGUCGUGUUGGAGGAACCAAUGAUGGAAGAGGAUAAAAAGAAAAAACGGAGCUAUAAAGCGAGAUUAUGUUUUAUAGUUGGAAGAAGAUUUCGAAGGUAAGGAAGAGGAAGUAGCCAUGAACAUAUCCAAUGAGAAUGAUGGUAGUGGUGGUUGAUGACGACGGUGAAGUGGUAGAGAUAUACAAGUCCAAAGUCUAUAAAUUAAGUUUUUUUUUGGGAUUUUUAUUUUUUCUUAAUUAAUUGAGAUUUUUAUUAAUUAAAAUAUUAUUAUUAUUUGAUGUGGAGACUACGUGAAAAUCAGCGAUAUUAAAUUUAAUCAUUAAAUUAACUAUUAAAUUUUAAAUCUAUGUCAUAAUAAAUAUUUUUAAUAAGUUAUAUUAUUCUAAAUUAAGACCCAAUAUGUUGGACCUUCCUACCAAUUCA